rnacentral:rRNA from 1 species
UGGGGAAUAUUGGGCAAUGGGGGAAACCCUGACCCAGCAACGCCGUGUGAAGGAAGAAGGCUUUCGGGUUGUAAACUUCUUUUAUCCAGGGAGCGAAGGACGUGACGGUACCUGGAGAAAAAGCAACGGCUAACUACGUGCCAGCAGCCGCGGUAAUACGUAGGUUGCAAGCGUUGUCCGGAUUUACUGGGUGUAAAGGGCGUGUAGGCGGAGAAGCAAGUUGGGAGUGAAAUUCCAUGGGCUCAACCCAUGAACUGCUCUCAAAACUGUUUCCCCUUGAGUAUCGGAGAGGCAAGCGGAAUUCCUAGUGUAGCGGUGAAAUGCGUAGAUAUUAGGAGGAACACCAGUGGCGAAGGCGGCUUGCUGGACGACAACUGACGCUGAGGCGCGAAAGCGUGGGGAGCAAACAGGAUUAGAUACCC